UUUGGUUUUUUUUUUUUUUUUUUUUUUUUUUUUUUUUUUGUAAAAACUAAAUCCAAAGACGGAUUUUACGUGAAAAAUUGAGUGAAAAGGUGUAUUUUGAUGAAUUUGCGUGAUCGGAGAGAUUGUUGGCAACCGCAGCCGGCCGCCAUGGCCGCUAGUUGCUGAAGUUUCAGUCUCGCCGGAGAAGAAGAAGAAGUAGA
rnacentral:lncRNA from 1 species